rnacentral:snoRNA from 1 species
AUUCCAUGAUGGGGACAUUCUAGGAUGUAGUCUUGAAAGCGCUCCCAUGCUUCUAGAACAGAUUCAUCGUUUUGUUGCUGAAAACUUGUAAUCUUCCCACGGAGAGC